CCUGUCCCUGCUUCCUUCCCUGCCCAGUACAGGGAGUUUGGGGCCAAUCGGCUCCUCCAGGUGAUCAAAUGUCACUAUAAGUUGAGAGCUGCAUCACCUUGGGACGCUCGCAGAUCCCAGCCUGCCUGUCCCCUUCGCCAGGGAGCUCUGUGCUUCUCUCUGUUCCUCCCAGAAACUCACUGCCAACAUGUCCGAUACCGAGGAAGUGGAGCAAGGAGAGGGUAAGUCUUAAAUCUGUCUCUAAUUGUUUCCAUGCAAGCCUGCAACGUUCGCUGGCUGUGUCCGCCUUCUCCUUUCUGCCUAUUGUUGAUAUUUUCACAAAAGGUGAAAAUCUGAUGUCUUUUUUUUUUUUUGGUGUGUUUGUCUGUCUGACUGUCACCAGAUUCUGGUGAUUUUGCACUACCUGUAGCCCCCAGCUGAUGCCCUUGUUGUGGGGGACACUACUGUUUUGGUUUUGUUUUUUUUUUUGUUGGGGCACUGCCAUCUGCUGGCAAAUUAUUUUGUGGCUUUUGUAUACAUAAUAUUGUCUGGUUUAAAACAUGAAAACCCACAGUAUAUACAGGCAAUAUACAUAAACAUACACAAGUUUCUUUACUGUUUUUUUCUUACACUCGGAGGCCCUCUCUGCCACCCCUUUCCAUUUAACCUGUGUGUAUGUCUGAGUUCCUACGACCCAAGAAAACAAUUCAAUACAAUAUCACCUUCCUUUUCUUUUACACCUCCUCUUUUUUUUUUUUUCCCCUCAAAUUAAUUUUAUUUGCUAUUUUACUUGCUGACUUGGAAAAGACCUCUCAGAGACCAUCUUGCCUGUCAUCCCUGUGAACACAAAGGUCUCUGCCAUGGGUAAUGUCCUACUGAUGUGUCAAGGCUAAUGGUUGAUUUGUCUGCUUUUUUCCCCCCUCCCCUUUUUCAAUGCAGAGGAAUAUGAAGAAGAAGGUAACAAAAAAACUUGGAACGUAAUUUAUCUUUCUUUGAUUCUUGGUCCUGCUUUUUCCUUGUCUGCAUUUCACCCUUCUCUUUGGCACUUGCCGCUAAAGGUUAUGGGGAACACUUGAUCAGUAGAUCAGUUGGAAACCAUAAAAACUGACCAAACUGGGGCCAUGAUGUGCUGAGCUGCAAUGUUACAGUAAAAUGCACUAUUUGUAUGAGCCAUAGGGUAUAGUUGUAAAACUGGGAGCUAAGCUGUCUGUAAACUCAGAGUAUUUUAGAGCAGGGACUGGUACAGAGCCCAUUCAACUUAUCAUCUGUAAAAUCCUGCCAUUCUCAUUUUGGCACUAUCCAUGUAUUUGGUUUAAAUUUUAAAAAUUAAAAGAAGAGCAGGAUGUCCAGCUCCUGAGAAGCACCCAAUAGGGCAUUGCCAAGGUUGGAAAAGCCAAGGCAGAGCACUGACUGGCAAAGAUGAAGUUUUUAAUGUACUUUUAGUUGGCAAAAAAGUGGUUUGACAAGCUGCAGGAGACAGAGUGCAGAUCUGGAAAGAUGGAGCAUGACAAGCCCUUCUCACCUGAGUUGUUUCAGCUUGUGUAGGCACCAGGGAGAGGAAGAUAUUAAAGAUGUAUCAGUGUCUUUGCUGAGCACUUUUGGCACGUUGGCUUCAGUUCAGGCAAGUGUAGCUGGUUGUCACCCUCCAUAUUCCCAAGGUGACUUGGACAGAGGCAAGGGCUAAACUCUGGUCUUUCUCACAGGAUCUGACCUUGGUGUCCAAAAUAUAUUCUAAGGGGUUAAAAACAAAAACCUUCACUGGGAGUUGGAAUAUUUGCAUACGGAGGGUAAAAGACCAGCUCUGAGAUGGAGACUUGCCCCUGUGCAGAAAUGUCCAUCCUGAGGAUUUGAUACACAGCAACUUUCUUUUCAGCUAUGGAUUCCCCCAGACUGCUGUAACUGGUUAAUUCCCAACAGUGGUGGUGGGAAGAGAAGUGCUACUGUAGCAGUGCUCAGAGUAGUUCCUGCCCUAAGGCACAUAAUCCUUAUUUCUUUAAUUGCUCCAGUGGUGCUUCUGAGGGAAUCAAAGGCUUAAAAAAGGAAAACAGACAGGUGAAAUGGGUUUAGAGGUGCCUUCAGUCAUCAUUAUGUCUCUAGUCCUGCCUGGAGGGGCAGAGCCAGGGUCUGAAGGUGCUAUUCAUGCUCCAUUCUUCAUGCCUUGUCAAAUGUCCAAAGAGUAAGCAAGGGGUGUUGCUCCAACAGACAAGCCUUCCUAAAAGGAGAAGCAUUUCUUCUUUCCUUUCUCCUUCCUUCUCUUAUUGUCUCCUUUUGGGUUCAAGGAUUAAUAUGAAAUUAAUAGGCAGGUGACUUCCUAUCUUUUAAUUUGCAUGAAUGCCUCCUCUGAGAUGUAUCCCUUCACUUUUGCUUACCCUUUGUGUUGUCUUCCAAAGUCAUCAAUUUCCAUUCCAUGUAACUUCUCUCCAUCACUUUCUAAUCACUUUUUUCUCCAGGCCUGAGCUCCCCUCAAUACCAGUUUCUAACAAUUUUCUGUUUUCAUUUUCCUGCUUGCUGUUGCUUCUUGUUCCAUGACGCUUGCCACCUGAAGCUCAGGAAGAAGAAGAGGUUCAAGAAGAAGAAGCUCAGGAGGAAGGUAUGUGAAUGACUCCCAUCUUUCUGAGUGAGCUCUGGUGUAGGCAGUAAGCCAUAAGAUGGUAAAAGGAAACAGGAUAUGAAAAUAGUCAUAUUAAUCUAGAAUAAAAAUUGCCACCAUUUUGGUUUUUUGUACUCUCUUCCUUCAUGUUCUGUCUUGGAAUUGAGUACAUUGCUGAUGCUAUGUGGUAAUUACUGCAUGAAAAAAAAGUAUGGAAACUACUGGGAAAUGUAAAACUCUUAAAAGAAUUAAAAUUGAAAAGUGUCUGCUCUGAAACUAGUUGGGUCUCUCUGUGAGGCUUAUUUUGGACCAUUUGGGGUGGGCUGAACCUCUGGAUGAUGUGCAGAUGUACCCAUGAUCAGUCUGCUGCUACAGCAGUUGCUAAUGUUGCAGCUGCAGAGAGCGUUUGCCCUCCUUUACUGGGCUGAUGCUCCUUCCACAUUCCCCUUUUGCUGUUUAAUGCAGCGGGUGACAAUUCUAAUGCUUUAGCUUUGCAAAUGAUUAAAGACAGUUUUCUUGUUCAUGCAAUAGAGUUUUUUGAGGCCACUGUCUCACAGUAGUAAGUGCAGCCACACAAACCCGGUGGCCUCAGGCUGUAAAUCCACUUGAGCGAGUAUCAGGGUUGUGAAAUAGCACGCCACUCCAGGCUUUAUGCAAGACUGCAGGAAUAUGCAUGUAAGACAAAUGUCAUCAGAUAUGGUCACUUAAAUCAGCUUUAUGUUUUUAAUAUCUCAGGCCAUUUGUACCCUCACUUCCAGUAGUGCUUUUUUUUGUAUCCAUGUUUUUAUUUCCUUGCAUUAUACUCUCAGGCUUUCCUUCCCCCUCCAUUUUGUAUGACUGGAAGGUUGUUCUGAUCUUUCUAAUGCUUUUGUCUUCCUUUGCAUUUUGCUCUCUGGCUCUUCUCAC